rnacentral:rRNA from 1 species
AAUUUUGGACAAUGGGGGAAACCCUGAUCCAGCGAUCCCGCGUGAAUGAUGAAGGCCUUCGGGUUGUAAAGUACUUUUGGCAGCGAAGAAAAGGUAUCCCCUAAUACGGGGUACUGCUGACGGUAUCUGCAGACUCAGCACCGCGCACAUACGCUCAAGCAGCCGCGGUAAUACGAAGGGUGCAAGCGUUAAGCGGAAUGACUGGGCGUAAAGCGUGUGUAGGCGGUUCGGAAAGAAAGAUGUGAAAUCCCAGGGCUCAACCUUGGAACUGCAUUGUUAACUGCCGAGCUAGAGUAUGUCAGAGGGGGGUAGAAUUCCACGUGUAGCAGUGAAAUGCGUAGAUAUGUGGAGGAAUACCGAUGGCGAAGGCAGCCCCCUGGGAUAAUACUGACGCUCAGACACGAAAGCGUGGGGAGCAAACAGG